ACUGUAGAUAAUAAUUAGUGAGUCAAAAUCAAAAAGAAUGUAAGUAUAUUUAUACGCACACAUGAAAACUAAACAUGUGAGGUUCGUGGCGGUGUUGUUGUCCCCAAGCUCCGACUCGGACGCGUAGUCACUGUCCCAAACUGAGGCAGCUCAAAAAUUUGUCUUCGUCCGCAGGAGAGGCAGCCGGGCUUGGUCAUCGAAUAUUUUUGCUCGUCUUUGUUCAGAUGUUGUUCGGAGUUCAAACUACCAAAGAUCCUCGAGUGGUCUUCUUUUUGCUCCACUUUGUUGUAAUUAAUCUCUUCAUUCAAUAGCCUGUUUCCAAGUUCAAUUAUUUCUGAAGAAACUGGGAGCUCAAUUCCGGGGUUUACCUUGAGUUUAUUUUCGAGCUUGUCUCUAAUUCCACCAAGGCGCGUCCUUGUUUCUGUGAAUUUGUGGCAUAACAUUGGUCUUCUGACUUGGCAGUGGCAUAAUAUUAUUGUGAAUAGUUGUCCUAGGUGGUUGCCAAUCGCCCACUGAAGCCACUCUGUUGUCAUUGAGAAAUCCUAGUGCCUCGCAAGCAAAUCUGUAUGAUGUGUGCACAACUCCAUUUACUGUUCUCAUGUCUUAGAAACAUGUGCAUCCUUUCUUGAGUUUAGUAGUAUUCACAUAUACUAUUUUUUUCUGAUUGCGGGAUGGGCAUAAUAUAUCCUUCCAACUGAUCUUCAUUUCUUCCUUUUGCUUCACUUCGUGUCUUUCUUCCAUACCUAUUUUGACGGGAACUCUGCAUAUGUUAAUUCUCUGGCUUCCUCACACAUCUUGUGUAUCUGCAUCCACUGUGUGGAAAGUCAAUCUUUCAAUCCAGGGAUCUCUGAAGUGCAUUUCAAAUUGAAAUAUUCUCCAACACGCGUCAUCUCUUGAUCUCAUUGUUUCGUAUUAGCACCGUGGAUUGGCCAUCACCUUUAUUUGUGUAUUUAAAAAGAAAGUGGCAGGUGACGGACGACUACAAAGAUCAACGGCGAUGCGCCGACGGACGACUACAAAGAUCAAUGGCGAUGCGCCUGCUGGUCUUUGGACUGAGAAGAGUACCUUGUUCUGCCGCUUCCGACCUGGGCCGGCCUUGCUCGUCCAAAUGAAGUAAAGGAGAUCAACUUUGUGCCGAAAUCUUUAAUGUUAAAGAGGAUCUCAAGUUCCAAUCAUCACGCGAAGACACAAAUAUUGAGUAUUUUUUAGUAGCAGCCGGCUGAAGCCAUAUCUACCUGAUUAAUGAGGCACUUCAUUUAGACAUCAUUAUUGAGGUACCGAGUCAAAAUAUUAUGCGAACCAUUAUAUGUUCUAAAAACUCUAAAUGGAUAGCAUACUCCAGUGCCCUUUGCUUCUUAAUGGACUUUAGAGCUAUGGAAGCCGUUCCACAACCCAAAAACUAUAAUAUAGGAGCACGCUAUAAUUCUGUGAGAUGGUACUUACCGGAGGUGGUCUGAUCUCUUGAGGGAGCUGGUUAUGAUCAAGGAUAGUCAACAGGAGAUUUGGGGGCUGGUGACCGAUGCAGGAAGACUAUGCUGAAGUGCCACUUGUUGGAUUCCCUGCUAGCUUGCUUAGGAAAUAGAAGAUUGAUUAGAUUGGCGUAUUACCAAAUAGUCUUGAUGCAAGCUUCCUUUUUUUUUUGAACAGAGAAAGGCACCCGAAGAUACCAAUAUAUUCAGCUCACAGAACAUUUUACAGUCGAGAUUACACCAUCUGCUAGAAUAAAGAGAAAGAAGAACUGCAGAUGCAAAGAAAGAAGAGCUGAAUAAAGACAUAUGAGAGAGCAAGGAACAAGAUCCUUGCUGAAGAACAGCAUGUCCUAAGAAACAAAGGAAGAGAAGGGGAAAAGAAAAUUCCAGCUUUGACAGCAAUCUCCUUCUUUCCAACAACCGAGCAUAGACCAUCAUAUCAUGUUGAGAUGAGGAACUUCCCAGAGCUAUCAACUUUCUCCUAAAA